GGGGGGGGGGGCUAUGGUUUUUUUUGGAAAAAAAAGUUUGUUUCCAGUUUUUUGAGAAAAAAAUAAUUUGUUUUUGAUUCUGAGAAAAAAAAAUUGUUUGUUUCACCCUCAGCUGCCACUAUAUGAAAUGCUAAAAUUGAAAGAAAAAAAUUGUUUUCGACUUGUCGCGAAAAAAAUAGAUUGUUUUUCGCCGCAGGCGAAAAAAAAAGUUUGCACAGAAAAAAAAAACCAUAGCCCCCCCA
rnacentral:lncRNA from 1 species